CUCACAUUUCUUUCUGUCUCAAUAUAUCCUACUAUAAGCUAUGAUCCCCUUCAAUUUCAUUAUAUUUGCUGUUACUUACCAAAUGUAGCAACUGCUAAUCUUCCAUUGUCUAUACGCUGGAAUUUUGUUAUUUAUUUGCUUCAUUAAUAAUCUCAAUUGUUCAACUAUUAUUCUUGUACAUUCAGAAACUUGGCGAAGGUGUGAAGGGCGUGUAUAUCUCAGUGGAUGUUGACUGUAUGGAUCCAGCAUUUGCUCCUGGAG
rnacentral:misc_RNA from 1 species